UGCAGACCCGCGCCCUCCUGACCAACGAGAGACCCAAUGAGGGUUAAGAAUGGCUGGAAGGUUCAAGAUUGGGUAUCUGCAUCUGGUGGAGGCCUCAGGCUGCUUCCAUUCAUGGCAAAAGGCCAAGGCAAAGGGGAGCCAGCUGUGCAGAGAUCACUUGGUGACAGAGGAAACAAAAGACGGAUGAAGAAACUAUGACACAGAGAGGCGAAGUAACUUGAUAAGAUCAAAACAAACUCUGAAUAUGCCAAUCCACUACCGUCUAGAAGACUAUGGGGUCUCUGAUGAGAAAUCAGCUAUUAAUCUUAGCAAGGAUCCUUGCAUGUGAUGAGUUACUUCUCUUGAUGCUUUCAACAUUCUCUCUUUACCUUUUGACAGUUUGAUUAUCGUGUGUCUUGGUGUAGUUUAUCCUACUUGGAGUUUCUUGAGCUUCUUAAAUGUGGUUAAUGUUUUUCCUCAAAUUUGAGAAGUUUCUGAGCAUUAUUUAUUUAAAUAUUGUUUUAGUCUGUUCAGGCUGCUAUAACAAAACACCAUAAACUGGGUAGCUUAUAAACAUCGGAAAUUUAUUUCUCACAGUUCUGGAGGUUGGGAAGUCCAAGAUCAAGGAACCGGCAGAUUUGGUAUCUGGUGAAGGACCAUUUUCUGGUUCAGACAGUGCCUUCUCACUGUGUUCUCACGUGGUAGUAGGGCAAGUGAUCUUCUUAUUACUCUAAGAGUGGUAAUCCCAUUCAUGAGGGCUCUACUCCCAUGACCCAGUCACCAUCCAAGUCCCUACCUCCCAAUACCUUGGGGGUUAGGAUUUCAGCAUAUAAAUUUAAAAGACCUCAUCAUAUAAAAAGACACAAACAUUCAGACCAGAGCAAAUAUUCUUUCCAGCCCUCCCGCCUUUCCAUAUGUUACUCUCAUUACACUGUGUCUGCUGUGCAUGUUGGUGCACUUGAGGGUGUCUCACAGGUCUCUAAGGGUCUGCUCUUCAAACUGGAUAUUCCAAUUAAUUUAUCUUCGACUUCACUGAUUCUUUCUUCUGUCUACUCAAUUCUGCUAUCUAAGCCCUUUAGUGAACCAUUCAGUUACUGUACUUUUCAGCUAUAAACUCUGUUUAGUUCCUUUCUAUAAUUUCUAUAUUGAUAUUCUCUAUUUGAUGAUGUAUCAUUCUUCUGGUUUCCUUUAGCAAUUUGAGCAUAAUAAAGACAGCUUACUUAAAGUCUUUGCCUGUGCUUCCCUGGGGGAAGUUUCUGUUCGUUUCCUCUGUAUAAGAGCCUUACUUUGUUUCUUUGUAUGUUUCAUAAUUUUUUGUAGAAAACUGGACAUUUUGAAUAUUACAAUGUGACGA
rnacentral:lncRNA from 1 species